rnacentral:misc_RNA from 1 species
UAUGAAGAACGUAGCAAAAUGCGAUAAGUAAUGUGAAUUGCAGAAUUCAGUGAAUCAUCGAAUCUUUGAACGCACAUUGCGCCCGCCAGUAUUCUGGCGGGCAUGCCUGUUCGAGCGUCAUUUCAACCCUCAAGCCCUCGGGUUUGGUGUUGGGGAUCGGCGAGCCUUUCUGGCAAGCCGGCCCCGAAAUCUAGUGGCGGUCUCGCUGCAGCCUCCAUUGCGUAGUAGUAAAACCCUCGCAACUGGAACGCGGCGCGGCCAAGCCGUUAAACCCCCAACUUCUGAAUGUUGACCUCGGAUCAGGUAGGAAUACCCGCUGAACUUAAGCAUAUCAAUAAGCGGAGGA